UUGGGGGGUCAAAAUGCCUACUGCACCACUCUGUACAGAGUAGUACAUCUUUCUCUUCAUUACUUGUAGUUUUGAAUCCUAUAUAGCCAUUUCAUUGUAUCCUAUAAUACCCUGAGCUGGAAGGGACCCACAAGGAUUAUCAAGUCUAGCUCUUUGGCCCUGCACAGAACAACCCCAAGAAUCACACCAAGAGCCUGAGAGCCUUGUCCAAAAACUUCUUGAACAUUUGAUUUUUCAUGUGUAACUUCUUAGAGAUUCCAUAUCACCUAGCUGACAUCUUGCUCUGGAAGAGAAGGAGAAGAGCAGAGGUGGGAUGAGAACAACAGGCAAAUAGCCAGGUGUCUGUCUCUGCAGUCAUGAGCAGGCUUCUACACAGGAAGUUUCCACUCUCUGGGCUGGCUUUAAAUAAAACAUGGCAGAUUUUGA